AGUUUCCAGCUGCAUAUAGCAUUUGAUUUUGUGAUUGAGGUGAGCAAUAAUGAGCAUUGCCUGGUGGUUUAUAUGCUAUUAAAAAUGGAUCAUACUCUUUCAAACAGUUUAAUAUUUCACAAUAAUUUCAUUGAUUAUUGCUUGUCUUACUUUCAUAAUGACCUCUAAGGGGAAGUUCCAACUUACCACAUAGUAUUAUAAUUUUGAAUAAUCGUUUCAAAUAUUCUCUUCUUUCAAAUUGUUUAAAAUGGUUCCAGAGAAUUACAUUCGUUGCAUGACCAUUUGUUGCUCCGUGAGUUGUUAAGGUAUCCUUUUUGAGGUUGAGUGGGAAAAUUACGACAAGGAAAACAAAAAAUAGAGUUUCUGGUUAUGCUAUAUUCAAUCCAGGGAAAGGAUUUGUACCACUGAGUUUGAAAGCAUCGUUUAUCUUUACCCAUUCCAAUAUAUGGAUAGGCACCUAAUAUAGGUUGCAUAGGACCAGUUGUUUUAGUACCCAGAUCUAAUUCUUCUGAAAAAAGUGAUAAAAAUUAAUAAAUGAAUUUAUUAUUGGUUUUAGAAAAUUAUGACAAAUAUUAUAUAUUUGAAGAAAAACAUUGUUAAAAUAAAAAUAAUACUUGUAUAAGCUCUUCUAAAAAAGUGACAAAUAUUAAUAUAAAAAUUAAAAUAUUAUUGCUUUUAUGAAAAUUAUGACAAAUAUUAUAUAUUUGAAGAAAAAUAUUGUUAAAAUGAAAAAAAUACUUGAAUAGUUGUUAUUUUUAGUUGGGCCAAACGUAUAGCUUCUAUUAUUUUAUAAAUAAAUAUAAAAUAUCUUAUAAACAAAUUAAUUUAUUUUCUUUCCUUCUGUAUCUACAUUAUUUAUAAUCAUGUCAUUCACAAUACUUUCUUCAUUAUUUAAUAAAUCUAAAUAAGGUUAAUUUUAAAAUGUAUUUCAUCAAAUGUAAUUUGUUGUAAUAAAACUUCUUUAUCCAAUAUACCUUUAUAUUUACUGCUAUCAAGAAUCUGGCUUGUUGUAGUAUCCUCUUCAGAAUCCAUUCCUAAAAUUUUAUAUUUAAAAAAUUAAUACCUUCAGAGAUAUCUAUACAUUGGAUCUCACAUAUAUCUUCAGAUUGAGCCACACAUAUUGCUUCAAUUAUUUUAUAAAUAAAAUAUUUUAUAUAUAAAUUAAUUUACCCAUUUUCUUUCCUUCUGUACCUACAUUAUUUACAAUCAUGUCAUUUACAAUACUUUCUUCAUUAUUUAAUAAAUCUAAAUAAGAUUAAUUAAAAAAUGUAUUUCAUCAAAUGUAAUUUGUUGCAAUAAAACUUCUUUAUCCAAUAUACCUUUAUAUUUACUGCUACCAAGAAUCUGGCUUGUUGUAGUAUCCUCUUCAGAUUCUAUGUCUAUAUAAAAUUUUAUAUUUAAUUUAAUUAUAUUUAAAAAAUUAAUACAUUCAGAGAUAUCUGUACAUUGGAUCUCACAUAUAUCUUCAGAUUGAGCCACACAUAGUGCUUCUAUUAUUUUAUAAAUAAAAUAUCUUAUAUAUAAAUUAAUUUUUUACCUAUUUUCUUUCCUUCUGUACUUACAUUAUUUACA